UACGGAGGGGGCUAGCGUUGUUCGGAAUCAUUGGGCGUAAAGGGCGCGUAGGCGGCCCGGCAAGUCAGACGUGAAAUCCCUUGGCUCAACCAAGGAACUGCGUUUGAAACUGCCGGGCUUGAGUCCCGGAGAGGGCAGUGGAAUUCCCAGUGUAGCGGUGAAAUGCGUAGAUACUGGGAGGAACACCGGUGGCGAAGGCGGCUGCCUGGACGGGUACUGACGCUGAGGCGCGAAAGCGUGGGGAGCAAACAGG
rnacentral:rRNA from 1 species